UGCAGUCUGCAACUCGACUGCAUGAAGCUGGAAUCGCUAGUAAUCGCGAAUCAGCAUGUCGCGGUGAAUACGUUCCCGGGUCUUGUACACACCGCCCGUCACACCAUGGGAGUCGGAAAUGCCCGAAGCCAGUGACCCAACCUUUAAGGAGGGAGCUGUCGAAGGCAGGUCUGGUAACUGGGGUGAAGUCGUAACAAGGUACC
rnacentral:rRNA from 1 species